CUUGCUUGACAGCGUAAUCUGGUUUAAAUUUCUAAGCGAUCUCUCCCUGGCCAUCCCGUCGAUUUUAGCAGAAGGAUGGGUUCAUGAUUGGCCGACAUGGCGCGCCAUUCCCGAUCAUUUUAAGGAACGCUGGUUUCUUCAACUCGCUCGCAAACGCACGUGGGCACGAAGAUAUAAUUUUCAAGUUUGGACAAAUUUUAAUCUGGUGGCCAGAACGGUGUUUCGUUGUCAGAUGCGCCUCUUGAAGAGGAGGUGGGCACAUGGGGGUGAGAAGCCUGCGUGGAUGCUAACUAGAGUUUGGCGUGAUCUUGUCCACAUGUUUGAAGAAUUUGGUCCUGAUAAUUUUGGUUUUAGAAAUUGAUUUGUUGUUUUUGUUUGUAUUCAGCCGUCAAGUUUUUGUAAAGUUGUUUAACUCAGCCGUUAAGUUUCUAUAAAGUUGUUUAACUCAGCCAUUAAGUUUCUAUUAAGUUGUUUAACUCA